rnacentral:rRNA from 1 species
UGGCUCAGGAUGAACGCUGGCGGUAUGCUUAACACAUGCAAGUCGAACGGGAUGCUUUCGGGCAUCUAGUGGCGGACGGGUGAGUAACGCGUGAGAACAUGCCCAUAGGACUGGGACAACAGUUGGAAACGACUGCUAAUACCGGAUGAACCGAGAGGUAAAAGAUUAAUCGCCUAUGGAUUGGCUCGCGUCAGAUUAGCUAGUUGGUGGAGUAAUGGUUCACCAAGGCGACGAUCUGUACUUGGUCUGAGAGGAUGGCCAGGCACACUGGAACUGAGACACGGUCCAGACUCCUACGGGAGGCAGCAGUGGGGAAUUUUCCGCAAUGGGCGCAAGCCUGACGGAGCAAUACCGCGUGAGGGAGGACGGCUUUUGGGUUGUAAACCUCUUUUAUCAGGGAAGAAGGACUGACGGUACCUGAUGAAUCAGCAUCGGCUAACUCCGUGCCAGCAGCCGCCGUAAG